rnacentral:lncRNA from 1 species
CCCGUCGCUCGGCUCGAUUAGCGAUGAAGGCCCAGUUCGGUGAGAUGCCGACCGUACCCGUCCACGGCUCGACCGCCAGGCGCACCGCGGUAAAAUUACGCCGAGACUCUUGCUUCCAGGUUGUUGUGCGGCAAAACUUCGCGCGUACUCCCCAGCGACCCCGCCCGGCACCUUGCUUGAAGCCACAGCGAUUACCCCGACGAGCGAUUUGGCGCACGCCAGACGGUCGAAGCCACGUAGGUGCCUACAUGAUUACGCCUUGUUUUUCCCUGGGUUCGGUGAGGUGGGGCGAGUCGAAGCUGGUUCACAGCUCCGAUUGGUUUUAAUGGUAGUCACGGUGGCGAUGAGUUCUACCAGGGCCUCGUUCUGGGGGCGAGCUAAGGGUGCAGAGGAUACAUGUAGCCCCGACAAACGCCGAAUUCGAAAGAUCCCAACAACCCGCCGCACGCGCUCGGUCUUCGUGGGGGAUCCCAGAUCUCCGGUGGACUUUCAACAAAUUGGAGAAGAAAUCCCUCGAUGCUCGGGAUUCUGUUUGCGCAUUAGAUAAUUCGUCAGGGGGAGCUCCUGGCUUGCCGGCCCAUGCUUCAGAGAGAAGGAAGAAUGGCUGGUGCGCUGCAGUGGCUGUCGAGCAGGGCCCACAUACAAGGGCACAGUAAUUCUCUCGGCAGCCAGUAAAAGGAAGCAGGCAUGAACAAGAGAUGAUUCUGGACCACCGAUCCCACCUGCAGGUGACCAAGGAAGCAUGUAUGCGGUAAUGCCCAGGAGACGUGAACGGCUCAAUUCGUUGUGCCCCACACGUAAGGGACUGGUGGGAUGAAGUCAUCUGAGAUAUCACCGUCAGGUCAAUCGGCUAGGGGAUUAAAGAAAUCAAAAACAAAAAAAACUAUGUCCACGUUUUGGGCUAGUGAGCCAAGCGGCCAUGGUUUUCACAUAGAUAUAAGGCUUCAUCAUUCUUUUUUUUGUUUUCUUUUCCUGCUGUCUUAUUUUUGUUUUAAAUCCUUACUUCAAAUCCAAAUCCAGAUUAUAAAUUUAAAUAUGAGUGCAACAAUACAAGAAAAUCAAGCAUGAUGCAAAGUAUAUUUUAUUUUACUUCUAUCACUAUUCAUAUUAUUUUAAGUAAAGGUGCCAAAACAUAUAGCUCACUACCAAUUAAAUCACACCAUUCAAAGAUUAUUUGUUCAAGAGAAUAGAUCUUUAACCAUAUUCAAAAUUAAAUGUUUAAUAUUUACUUAUAAAUGAAUGCCUAUGAAACCUUUAUUUAUUAAUUAUUCUAUUCGUAAAAAAAUGAGCACUAUAAAAAAACUAUAUACUAAUAGAAUUAUUAACUGUCCAUAUUCAUAUAUAAUUCGGGUAUUACAAAUCCUACCCCCCUUACAAAGAAUCUCGUCCUCGAGAUUUAGGAAGGACCAGUGAAAAGAUGGGGAAAAUCUAUGCGAAGCUCUUCUUCUCUUUCCCAAGUUGCUUCAUCUUCACCGUGGUGACUCCAUUAAACUUUGCACAUCUUUAUAACCUUAUUCCUUGUGACCCGAGUCAGUGUAUCCAGAAUCUUGAUGGGGUACUCAGCAUAAGUCAAAUCCUCCUGAACACUAAGGUCCUCCAUUGGUAGCUGCUCCUCAGGUACCCGGAGGCACUUCUUCAGCUGAGAUACAUGGAAUACAUCAUGUACAUCUGACAGAUGAUCGGGUAACUCCAGUUGAUAUGCAACUUCUCCCACUCGCUUUAAGAUCAAGAAAGGUCCAAUGAAGCGAGGGGACAACUUUCCUUUAACUUUGAAUCUCCUCAUUCCACGAAGUGGUGACAUCUUGAGGUACACAUGAUCACCUUCCUCAAAUUCCAGUGGUCUUCUUCUAUUAUCUGCGUAGCUCUUUUGCCUGGUUUGAGCUACCCUCAAAUUUUCUCUUAUCAUUCGAACUUGUUCCUCUGCCUCUUGAAUAAGCUCAGGUCCAAAGAAUUGUCUUUCUCCAGUUUGAUCCCAAUACAGGGGAGUCCUGCAUUUUCUGCCAUAUAGAGCCUCAAAUGGUGACAUCUUCAAACUGGCUUGAUAACUGUUAUUAUAAGAGAACUCAACAUAGGGUAAGCUCUUCUCCCAACUGCCACCAUGCUUGAGGGCACAAGCUCUUAACAUAUCUUCCAGCACUUGAUUAGUCCUCUCUGUCUGUCCAUCAGUCUGGGGAUGGUAGGCUGAGCUAAAAUUCAACUUUGUAUCCAAGCUCUCAUGCAACUUCUUCCAAAAUCGAGAAGUAAAAUGUGAUCCUCGAUCAGACACGAUCUUCUUAGGCACUCCAUGUAGACAAACUAUCCGAGUCAUAUACAAUUCUGCUAGCUUGGCUCCCGUGUAAUUAGUCCUCACAGGUAUGAAAUGAGCCACUUUUGUCAAUCUGUCCACAAUUACCCAAAUAGAGUCAUAUCCUGCUGGAGUGCGGGGUAGUCCAACAAUAAAAUCCAUACCAAUUUCUUCCCAUUUCCACUCGGGUAUCUUCAAUGGGUGCAAUAGUCCAGCGGGUCUUUGAUGUUCGGCCUUGACUCUUUAACACACAUCACACUUAGCCACAUGUGCAGCAACAUCUCUUUUCAGUCCAUACCACCAAUACUUUUGCUUCAAAUCCUGAUACAUCUUAGUGCUACCAGGGUGGAUAGAAUAAUCAGAAUCAUGGGCUUCUUUCAAUAUAGUCUCACGGAGGCUAUCAAUCUCUGGAACACAUAUCCGAUCUUUGAACCAUAUAGUACCUUGCUCAUCCUUCGUGAAUUCCGGAACUCGACCUUCCGUAAUCAGAUCCUUAAUCUCUUGAAUUUUAGCAUCACCAACCUGACCUUUACGAAUCUCUUGCUCCAAGGUAGGUUCCAACUCAAUGGUAACUCCUUCAGUGUGAGUAACAAUUCCCAAAUUGAGUCUCUCAAAGUCCUUUGCUAAUUCAUCGGGUAGCUGGACGACAAAAGCGGAGUGAACAUGCUCUUUCCGACUCAAGGCAUCUGCAACCAAAUUCGCCUUGCCCGGGUGAUAGUGAAUCUCCAAAUCAUAAUCCUUAAUAAGCUCCAACCAACGGCGUUGCCUAAGGUUGAGAUCCUUCUGAGUGAAUAUAUACUUCAAACUCUUAUGAUCCGUGUAUACUUGGCACUUAGUUCCCAUAAUAUAAUGUCUCCAAAUCUUAAGUGCAUGCACAACGGCAGCCAGUUCCAAGUCAUGAGUGGGGUAUUUUCAGUUCAUGCUUCCGCAACUGACGAGAUGCAUAGGCAAUCACAUGUCCUUCUUGCAUGAGCACACAUCCAAGUCCUUGGCCACAUGCAUCACAAUAAAUGUCAAAUCCCUUCUGUAGAUCUGGCAUAAUCAAUACUGGUGGCGACAUUAGUCUCUUCUUUAAUUGAUCAAAACUAUCUUGGCACUUCUCGUCCCACUUGAACUCUCUUCCCUUUUCCAGAAGCGAGGUCAUAGGCUUAGCAAUCUUAGAAAAUCCUUCAAUAAAUCUCUGAUAGUAUCCUACAAGCCCCAAGAAACUCCGAAUAUCCAUAACUGUAGUGGGUAUGCUCCACGUCACUAUCUCCUUGACUUUAGCAGGAUCCACUGAUAUCCCUCCAUUAGAAGUGAUAUAUCCAAGGAAUGACACCUCUCCAAUCCAAAACUCGCAUUUACUAUACUUGGCGUAGAGUUGGUUAUCUCGCAGCUUCUGUAGCACCAAUCUCAGGUGUUCCUCUUGGUCACUUUCACUCUUAGAAUAGGUAAGAAUAUCGUCGAUAAAUACUACGACGAAUCUGUCCAAAUACUCCAUGAACACCUUAUUCAUCAAAUUCAUAAAAUAAGCUGGUGCAUUAGUUAAUCCAAAUGACAUAACAGUGAACUCAUAUAAUCCAUAUCGGGUUGAGAAAUCCGUCUUGGAAAUAUCCGAUGGCCUAAUCUUCAUUUGAUGGUAACCCGAUCGGAGAUCAAUCUUCGAGAAUACUCUAGAACCUCUCAUCUGAUCAAAUAGGUCCUCAAUGCGGGGUAACGGGUACUUUUUCUUCACAGUGACAUCAUUAAGGGACCUAUAAUCCACACACAUCCGCUGUGAUCCAUCUUUCUUCUGUACAAACAGUACCGGUGCUCCCCAAGGUGAGGAACUCGGACGAAUGUACCCUGCCCCUUGUAACUCCGUUAACUGCUUCUUCAGUUCCUUUAACUCUUCUACCGACAUCCUGUAUGGUCGCUUAGAUAUAGGGGCAGUUCCAGGCAGAAGAUCAAUCACAAACUCAACUUCUCUAUCAGGUGGCAUCCCUAGUAACUCUUCUGGGAAGACAUCCGGAAAAUUCCUAACUGCACGGAUGUUGUCACCCACAAACUUCUCAUCUACUAAGAAUGUUGCUAGUUUGAUGGUGGUAGUUACUGCAACUUCAACUUCAAAUCUUUGCCCUUUGGAACUGGUGAAUUCUACGGUUCACUUAGCAUAGUGUAUAUACUGCCUUUGCCUUUCUUAACCAUGACGUACCAAGGAUCACGUCUAUAGUGCUCUCUUCUAACACUAUAGGGGUAGCCCAUCUAGGUUAGAAAUACAGGGUAAGAAAGGAAGAAUUGUAGACAAGGCGAGUAAUUACGAGAAAUGUUACUGCGGGGGAUUUAUUAGUUAAGUAGAUUAGUGUGUUAUCCACUAAAGCUAAUGCAUUACCUUAUGGUGGAACAUGCUAAGAUGCCCAACUAUACUAUUUCAAUCAAUCAAAGAAGCAAAUCAGGCAUUGAUCAUCAGAACAAUCAACCAACAUUUUUAAUAGAGAAAAUAAUUUUAAUUUUUUUGUCUUGGUUCCCUAUCUCUUAAAAAGAUCAUAAUGGUAGGAUUCCAAGGUGUGAAAUCCAUCUUGUCUUAGAGUAGAAAAGGUAAGAGUGAUUAGAGUAGAGCAGUAGAAGGUGAGACAUGAUCAAUAUAAGUAUAGAAAGAAUCAGAGUAAGGUAAGUAUAGAAUGAAUCAGAGUAAGACAAGUAGAUGAGGGUUUGUCCAUUUCUAUCUAGGUUUCGUCCUACAGUCAACAUUUCCUCUGAUACCACUUCUGUCACACCCGGUUUUAAGGAACAAAGCCGGGUGCAUCUCAUACAUGCGCCAAGAAGACAACAUAUACAAUAACAGAGUGUAUAGAGAUAAAUGUCAUAAAACAUCAGAGUAUUUAUUACAUAGCGGAAGACUUAAUACAAAAUAAAAGAAUAAACAUAAAACGAACUAAGGAUCGUUGGCGCCAAUGUCAACUGAGAAACGCCACCUAGAUCAGAUCAUACUCCUCGCCUUGUGGCUCCUCCUGAACCACCUGUUCUUCUCCUGUGGGGGGGUGUGAGACAACAAGAGUGAGCUCACACAUGUUCAUCGCUCAACAAGUUGUGGGGAAUAAUGUGGCAUGAACUCUCCAAAGGCGGGAGUUCAUGUAGUGUAAGGCUAAUCAAUGAAAUAAAGGCUGAAGCUGAGCAUUGCUUUUAGAAGUUGGUCAAAAUUUUAUUAGCAAUUACUAAGUGUAAGUAAAUACCAAACCAUAGUAAUAAUAAAUAAAAGUAAUAAUAAAAUAAUCCCACAUGUAAUGAUAUGACAGGUUAAGUUUAAGUUCCAUAAAUUAAUCAUGUGAGUGUCCGAGCCGCUCAUGGCCGUGAGCACGGCUAGUAUACCAGUUUUACACUCUGCAGAGGUUGCGCAUCUUUACCCACAAGUCGUGUUACCCAUUUGCCACGGAGUUGAUCAGACCCCAUACACCUCUACCAAGGAAGCGAGGCAGGGUACCACUACGAGGCCUUUACAAAGUUCCACUAGCUUCAGACUACCCGCUACAGUUUAUAGGAAGCUCCAGUGCAGGGUUUUUGCAUGACCGCCAUCGCAGCAAAAUCAACCCAAGGACCUCCCUACACUGACCACUCCCCUACUGCCCUUGCCCCUUUCGGGUAAGGUAGCCCUCCACUAGCUUUCCUAGUUAAUCAGCCAAGGGCGUCCCAUUAUACCCUUGUGGUAGCACUGUUUUCCCGGGUGGUUCUCCAUGUUCACAUUAACAUAAUGAUCUUACCAUGAACAUAAAAUAAUGAACAGAUAAUAACAAGUGUAAAAAUGAGUGAUGAAUAUCUCUAUACCCAAAUCCACAUAAAGCAAUAGCAUGUACUACCCAAAAACUUAGUAGUAAAACCAGUGGUGAAGCAAGGUAUAAAGAUAGUCAAAAUCUAGGGUAUCCUAUUGGGUCCCAGCAAAAUUAACCUAUGCAGAUCAUUAUGAUUAAUAAGAACAUGAAUGGGUAAAAGAAGUGAUCAAGGGCACAACUUGCCUUCAAUGAGCUCCUGCUCAGCAGUCUCUACCAGCUGAACCUCAGGAUCUUUUGUAGCUUGCUCGACUACUCGCAUUAACACAAUACAUACAUAGUAUAGCAAAAAUCAACAUUACACCAAACAUGUAAAUAAAUUACACAGUAAUAAUCUAGACAUUAAAAUAGGAUUCUAGGAACUGGAAUCACUAAAUUUGGAGUUAUAUAUUUUAAGUUAUGGAUUUUCCAAGGUUUUAUGUAUUUAAUACAAGAUUAAGUGAUAGAUAAAUUUUAAUGAGUCUUUCAUGCCAAAACAGAGGCACUAUUUGAUAGAGAAUAAUAUUACAAAAAUUUAGGAACUGGAAUGGACCAAUUUGGAGUUCAUAUGAAUUUUCCACAAUUUAAACAAGUUCUAUACAUUAAAAAUCUAUUUCUAUUUUAUUUUUAUCCGAUUUUCGAGUUUUCUGGACUGGGCCUCAUUUCCUGAAAAACACAGGGGUUCAAUCGCAAAAGAAACCGAGACACAAGCGUUGUACAGGGUGGACUACGGGUUGGUUCUUAAAUACUGGAAGGGCUCUUCUGCAAAACUUGCGGCCGAAGGGGUAUCUUCGGAUCCAAGCCGUUGGAUCACGCGUGAACGGUUCUGAUUUAAAUAAAUGUGAGCGCAUCAGGGAUCGUCCGAUCAGAAUUAUACGGCUCGGAUUUAAAAACCCCUGCGAUCGCCUCGGCUUGCCCGAACGCGAUCGAAUGGUCCGCAUUCACCCUGGCCUGAUUCGCCCCCGAUCUAAUCUACACCCAUGAUUCUCCAAUCUACGGCCAACACAUCGUCUUCAACCCUCGGCUGCCCAAGCACAGACGCCGCCCGAUUCCCAGUGUUCUCUCUCUCCUCUCAUUUCUUUCUCCAGCCCGCAUGCCGCGGCCGAGCGCCAAAGACACGGCAGCGAACUGCCCGAGCCUACGAACUGCUACCAGCAUAGAAAUGUAAAGCGGAGACAUCUAGAGUGGUGAUUCUCACCAGAAUUCCCGUCGCUCGGCUCGAUUAGCGAUGAAGGCCCAGUUCGGUGAGAUGCCGACCGUACCCGUCCACGGCUCGACCGCCAGGCGCACCGCGGUAAAAUUACGCCGAGACUCUUGCUUCCAGGUUGUUGUGCGGCAAAACUUCGCGCGUACUCCCCAGCGACCCCGCCCGGCACCUUGCUUGAAGCCACAGCGAUUACCCCGACGAGCGAUUUGGCGCACGCCAGACGGUCGAAGCCACGUAGGUGCCUACAUGAUUACGCCUUGUUUUUCCCUGGGUUCGGUGAGGUGGGGCGAGUCGAAGCUGGUUCACAGCUCCGAUUGGUUUUAAUGGUAGUCACGGUGGCGAUGAGUUCUACCAGGGCCUCGUUCUGGGGGCGAGCUAAGGGUGCAG